ensembl:miRNA MIR942 microRNA 942
AUUAAGAGAGUACCUUCUCUGUUUUGGCCAUGUGUGUACUCACAGCCCCUCACACAUGGCCGAAACAGAGAAGGUAGUUUCCUAAU